AUUGAACGCUGGCGGCAGGCUUAACACAUGCAAGUCGAGCGAGCGGCGGACGGGUGAGUAAUGUCUGGGAAACUGCCUGAUGGAGGGGGAUCACUACUGGAAACGGUAGCUAAUACCGCAUACCAUCAGAUGUCCCCAGAUGGGAUUAGCUGGUGGGUGGGUAAAUGGCUCACCUCGGGGAGGAUCCCUAGCUGGUGUGAGAGGAUGACGGGCCACACGGGAACUGAGAAACGGUCCAGAUUCCUCCGGGGGGAAGCAGUGGGGAAUAUUGGACAAUGGGCGCAAUCUGAAUGCAGACAUGCCGCGUGUGUGAAGAAGGCCUUCGGGUUGUAAAGCACGUUCAGCGAGGAGGCGUUACUCGCAGAAGAAGCACCGGCUAACUCCGUGCCAGCAGCCGCGGUAAUAC
rnacentral:rRNA from 1 species